CUGCUACAACUAAAAUAAAAUAUGUUAUAUGUGGUAAGUUAAGACCUCCACAGGAAUCAUAAACAAUAAAAAAUAGAUGAAGGAAUAUUUCCAUCUUUUGGCAAAACUGAAAUUCCAAGAGCAAGGAGAUGCUGUUGAAAGCUCUGGAGGUAGCUGAUAAGCAGACCUUGAGUGAAGAUUGAUUCAGAACUAUUUAUAAAACAUUCAUAGACAUAUUUAACAUAACACGACAGAAACAAACUGACUCCACAGGUCACAUCUUACAGAAAAGUGUCCUGUCUGGUUGUUCAAGUUCAGCACACAACUCAUGACCCAAACCUGCUGAUAAAUGUCAGAAUAUUCCUUUAAAUCAAUAUACAGAAUCGAACUGAUAACAUCCAACAUAUAGAAACAUACUCAUUAAAUCAAUAAAAAAGACGUGCUGUGCGUUAGCAUGACACACAGCAUUUAUACAGGAUCACUACAGGAAUGUUCAGGCUGAUAGAGCUGAUCGGUGAUCGAUUAUCAGGCACUGACUAACAGCACCGACGCUCCGAGGUCUUACCUGUCCGCUGCUGACCCGUCCGACACCGAACAGCCCCGGCAGAGAGACGGGAGUCGGGCUGCUGUAGAGGAGGACGGAUGCUGGUCAACCUGUUUGUUAUGUCACUCUCUCAGGACUGUGGCCGCAGAUGGCAGCAGCAGAGUCUUCAGCUCACACAGCUGUGUGGUUUGCAGGAGCUCCAGCAGAGGGCGCUGACGCUACACACAGAGCAGCUGCUGUAACUGUGAAGAAAGAAGUCUGAGGAGGCUGCAGUUGACGUUUCUGCAAACCGCAGAUAAGUCGGACGUUUGCACCAAAACCAAUUCUCCACUGACGGAUGAUUCAACUAAACAUCGAGUCAUUUCCCGCCGAUCAACAGGAAGCUGGACCGUCUGCUGUCACGAUUCUGGCUACAAAACUGGAUGUUUUCAACGAGACCUCAGGGCAUCUCCAGUCCACUUAGUGGUACAAAAACUGGAGGUCGGACCUCCUCCAGCUGCGUUUGAGGUGUCGGUCGCUGUUUCCAAAACUGUUUGGUUGAGUACAGGAAAGGAAAGUAAACACAUUCAGGUGUGUGAUGUUAGUUACGUGAAGGCCCGUGUUCUGAGAUGAAAGCACCAACUGAGAUGAAAACAACGCUGCACGUGUAUUAUAUACAGUGAAUAUUAUCUCCUUAGACCAGGAAAAAGAAAAAAAACACUUGUGACAGUUGGCCACAAUCAGGACGAAACACGCUCUGGUCUCUUGAGUGAAACUCCUGUGAACGACCGCCUCAUCCGUCCCCCAUCUUGGAUUUGUCUCGCUCGUCUAGACGGCCAUCACAACCUCAAACUCAGAAGAGGCUGCUGGAUUCAACAAAGCCCCAAAAACGUGUUAAAAACCUUCUCUUUUAUAUGUUGCAGUGAACAGAAUGUAAUUUCAUCCAGACAGUUAGAAGAGUCUGUAAGGAUUCUGAGAACACCUGGAGAACAGCGGGAUGCAUUGUUAAACUUCUUCGUCUUCAAGGUUCUUAUCUUUCAGACGAGGCGCUGAGACUGGAAAUGAAUGCUGAUACACGAGAGGCGACCUUGAUGAUGUCAUCACCCACAUCCUCCUCGCUCUGAUGUCCUGAUGCCAGUAAACCACAGAGGAUUAGUGUCCAUCAUAUGGAGGUGGCUGUAAAGACGCACCUGCUGUGUUUUCUCUGUCAUCUCGGCGCUCAGUGUUGAUGUGCUAUGAAACAUGUUCAUCUGAACGUAUCGAGUGUUUGCAGACACUUAAGAUGCCACAUUUUAUUUUGGCGACUGUUCUGCUGGAUGCUUGUGCAGGACCGAGACGUUCUGCUUGAUAUUUAUCGAAGGUUUUAUUUUGCAGAGCUCCAUGAAACCACAAACGUCGCUGAGAAACAGAAGCUCAGCAGUUCUGUCAUUUUGCUUAUUUGGUCAGAAACCAAAGUGCUGGACAAAUUUCCUACAUUUAAUUGAUGAUUAAUUGGAUAAAAAGAUCUCAUGACUCUCCAUGAGACAAAAAGUUUGUGUAUUCACUCUUUAGUUUUUGAAAUGGAUAAAUAUUAAUCUAACCUUCUGUUAGAGCUAGGCUAAUUGUUCCCCCGUUGUUGCUGACUUUAUGCUAAGCUUUAUGCUAAGCUAAGCUCAUCAUCCAAUAAACAAACGUCCACAGCUCAGCUCACGA